rnacentral:lncRNA from 1 species
AAGAUUUUGCUUAAUUGCUAAUUUACUCUCCAAAUAACUAAAAUGUCCUUCCAUAAUUGGGCCAACACUUGGACAUUUUAUUAAUUCCAUAGGAUGUUAUUUUGCUUACUAACAAAAUAACAUAGCCUUCCUCUACAAAUUAAAUUGGGUCAUUAUAAUUCUUGUCCCACACAUAUUAUACUAGACUAGAUUAAUAAUUAAUUGCCCUUAACCACUUUAUCUACAAGUCCCAUACUUAAAUUAAUUAAUUGGGCUUGAUUAAAUAAUAUAACCUCCUUAGUCCAAUAAAUAUAAUUCUCUUGGACUCUUUUUAAAUUAAUUGGGUUAUGAUAUUAUUAUAGCCCAUUACUUUUAAUUCUAUUCCAUUCUACCCUUAUCAUUAUAUUAGGGUUUACAUGCACUCAAGUGAAAUAAAAAUUCUUACUGAAGUACAUUUAAUAUCUUAACCUAAUUAGACUUGCUAUAAUUAGGCUAUAAAAUUAAUUAACUGAGAUGUAUAAAACAAAUCUCUCAUAAUUGGUAUAUAUUCUAAAUACCAUAAUUCUCUUUUCC